rnacentral:rRNA from 1 species
AUACGGAGGAUGCGAGCGUUAUCCGGAUUUAUUGGGUUUAAAGGGAGCGUAGGCGGGAGCUUAAGUCAGCGGUUAAAUGGAGCGGCUCAACCGUGCCCUGCCGUUGAAACUGGGUUUCUUGAGAGUGCAAGAGGCGGAUGGAAUUCAUGGUGUAGCGGGGCAAUGCUUAGAUAUCAUGAAGAACUCCGAUUGCGAAGGCAGUCCGCUGGGGCACGUCUGACGCUGAUGCUCGAAGGUGCGGGAAUCAAACAGGAUUAGAUACCCUGGUAGUCCGCACGGUAAACGAUGAUUACCCGCUGUCGGCGGCAGACAGUCAGCGGCCAAGCGAAAGCGAUAAGUAAUCCACCUGGGGAGUACGCCGGCAACGGUGAAACUCAAAGGAAUUGGCGGGG